CACACUUGUCUUCAUGCAGGUUUUGUCACCAACGAUAUUAAAGUUAGGACCGAUAACGAGGACAUUAAGUGUAACGAUAGCGCAAGAGCUUAACGGCCUGAUUUUCAGACUUUGACAUUUGAUGAUAUACACACAGACAUUUAAAGAUGUAUAUAGUAUUU